UGGGGAAUAUUGCACAAUGGGCGAAAGCCUGAUGCAGCAACGCCGCGUGAGGGACGACGGCCUUCGGGUUGUAAACCUCUUUUAGCAGGGAAGAAGCGAAAGUGACUGUACCUGCAGAAAAAGCACCGUCUAACUACGUGCCAGCAGCCGCGGUAAUACGUAGGGUGCAAGCGUUGUCCGGAAUUAUUGGGCGUAAAGAGCUCGUAGGCGGUUUGUCGCGUCUGCUGUGAAAACCCGAGGCUCAACCUCGGGCCUGCAGUGGGUACGGGCAGGAUAGGAGGAGGGAGGGGAGAUUGGAAUUCCUGGUGUAGCGGUGGAAUGCGCAAAAAUCAGGAGGGACACCGAGGGGGAAGGCAGAUCUCUGGGCCGUAACUGACGCUGAGGAGCGAAAGGGUGGGGAGCAAACAGG
rnacentral:rRNA from 1 species